UUCUCUUUAUGGCAGAAUAUCACCUACCAACCACUCUACAUUGUUCAAUUCUAUACCUUGGAUUGUUAUGGGGUAUUUCAAUGCAGUUAGAGACCCUAGUGAGAUUGAUAGGGGCAAGAAUCAGUGGUGCAAAGCUAUAUGGUUGUGUGAUGAGUGUGUGAUGAGUGUCUGAUUGAAGCUGAGUUGGAAGACUUGAGCAGAAUAUAGAGUUGAUCACCAUCUUACUUGGUAGAAUAAAGAAGGGGAUGGUCAUCUCAUAUAUAGAAAGCUUGACAGAGUAUUGGUGAAUGAAUGUUGGAGUACAACUGGGCUGUGGCUGAAUUCUAUGCCCCUGCUAUCUCUGACCACUGCCCUGGUAUUGUAAGAGCAGGGAUUGAGCUGAGUAAGACUCACAAGCCAUUCAAUUUCUUCCACUUUUGUUUUGGGCUGAGUCUGAUGAGAAAGCUCUUCUUUAAGCUUGAAGUCAUGUUACGAAGGCUUGGCAAACUGCCGUGAAGGGCCCCAGCCCCUACAUUAGGGGCAGGGGCAACCUCUACCAAGUUUUUCAAAAGCUCAAAGCAGUGAAGCAAGCCUUGAAGGCAUUCAACUCCAAGAAUUGUAAGAAUAUCUCUGAGAAAGUAUCUGAAGCUAGGAACGAUCCAAAGUCAGAACCUUCUAUACCAAGAUAUGGGAAAUGAGACUAGCAGAAGGCAGGAGAAAGAAUGCCUUAUCAACCUUGCCGCAAUGAUGAAGUUGGAACUCAACACUGAAGUUGAAGUUCGACCGUUCGUCCUUAUGAUCCUUCAUUCUUUAACCAACCAAGGGAAUGUUCUGGCACCUAGCCCAUUCGCGGGGAAUGAGCACACCUGCAGUGAAUGUCCGUGAGAACAACCCACUAGCUGGAGUUGGCACAUCAGUUGUUAGUUUAAACGCUGGAGCGAUCAUUGCUACCAACACGGCCAUCCCGGUUGGGCCUGCAACCCGGCGUGCAAAAGGACUGUGCAAUUUGAAAUACACUUGUAAAUGAGAUCACAGCAAGCAUGAGAGCCCGUGGGCAUAUUCAUCUUUCGGAGAUUCUUGCUUAAAAAGAGAAUACUUAUCUAAGAGAGAAAACUGUAAUGUUCUUAUUGUUGGGAAUCAAUUCAAGAUCCAAUUUGAUAGAUUCGCCUUCGGGCACUGAUAUUCUGACUCUCUCAAUUCCUAAGAAGACUGGGGGGAUUCCUAAAGCAUAAUUCUUCUGUGACCGUGGAACAUGCGAGACAUUUACUUUCAGAAAUUGACUUAGUGCAUGCCUUGAUGAAGUAAGGCUCGGGAGAGCAGAAGCAAGUUGUUAUUUUCAAGCUAGAAGGACGCAAAAGAAAGAGGUUUGGCAACUUUAGAAUGCAACACAAUAAGAGG
rnacentral:lncRNA from 1 species